rnacentral:rRNA from 1 species
UACGUAGGGUGCGAGCGUUAAUCGGAAUUACUGGGCGUAAAGUGUGCGCAGGCGGCUUGGCAAGUCGAGUGUGAAAUCCCCGGGCUUAACUUGGGAAUUGCGCUCGAAACUACCUGGCUAGAGUGUGGCAGAGGAAGGUGGAAUUCCACGUGUAGCGGUGAAAUGCGUAGAGAUCUGGAGGAAUACCGAUGGCGAAGGCAGCCUUCUGGCCUAACACUGACGCUGAGGUGCGAAAGCAUGGGGAGCAAACAGG